GAGAACAGGGUGGGAGGUAACGAUUCUGGACAGAAAACCAUGGUAAGCUGAGCUUAGACCAUGGGUGAGCUGUAAGAGUGAGAGAGAACGGAGGAGAAGGGUUUUCUAGAGAGAGCUAAAACAGAGGAAGAAAAAUGAAGUGAGAGCAAGGAGGAGAGAGUGAGCUGGGGAAGACAUCUGAAACAAGAGGAGCUAUAGGGAGGUGAUUUUGAGCUGAGCAGGGGAGUGAGUUGGAUUUUGAGAGGGUUUGAGGCUGUGAAAAUGAGCUGAACAGUGAGAGGGGCAGAGGAGAGAAAGGGAGUGGGUUUGCUGCGGUUUUGAUUUAAGCUUAGGAGAAGAAGCAGAGCAGCUUGAAGCCCAGUUAGUUCCGCUGGAGGGGAGCAUUUCCUGGAUUUGGAGAUGGAGAUGUUCUUUCAGGUUGGAGAACAGUAGGCUUCGAGUGCAUACAGUGCAUGAGUUUGGAGGCUAUCAGUUUACAGGUCUCUCCAGUUUUGUCCUUUGCUAGAAAGUUGAAGGCUCUGAAAGAUGAUCUGAAACAUGGACUAGAGAGAAGGAUGGCCUUAGAAGCAACAGCAGUGGAAGUAGCAGUGACUGAUGUAUAUAGAGAUGGGUGAAGCUUAUUAAGUU